UACGGAGGGGGCGAGCGUUAUUCGGAAUUAUUGGGCGUAAAGGGCGCGUAGGCGGCUUCUUAAGUCAAAGGUGAAAUCCCUCGGCUCAACUGAGGAACUGCCUUUGAAACUGAGGAGCUUGAGUCCGGGAGGGGGUAGCGGAAUUCCCAGUGUAGCGGUGAAAUGCGUAGAUAUUGGGAGGAACACCAGUGGCGAAGGCGGCUACCUGGACCGGAACUGACGCUGAUGCGCGAAAGCGUGGGUAGCAAACAGG
rnacentral:rRNA from 1 species